CCUGGAUGCUCCUGGGCUGUAAUCUGAAACGGGCCCCUUAAAGCAGUGGCCAGGGAGAGACUGAAGAAAGUUGGAGGCCACUCCAGGAAUCUGCCCUACGGACAGCCUGUGAUCUCAGUGCCAUCACAGAAAUGGAUUUCAGAGUGAUGGAUUAGAAGCCUUCAAACAAGUCCAUUCCUGGGAGUUGGAGGUCUAAUACUGAUUUGAGUAUUCUUGUAUGUACUGGCGUUAACCAGCUGUGACCGAAGGAUGCUCA